UCCGAGUUGACCCCGGCGGUCUCCCGUGAGUCCCCAGCACCCCAAGGGGCCUGCUGGCAACACGGGACAGGGGUUGCGCUCGUUGCGGGACUUAACCCAACACCUCACGGCACGAGCUGACGACAGCCGUGCAGCACCUGUGCGCGCUCCCUCGCGGGUCCCCUCGGUUUCCCUCGGGUACCACGCGCAUGUCAAGCCCGGGUAAGGUUCUGCGCGUUGCAUCGAAUUAAACCACACGCUCCGCUGCUUGUGCGGGCCCCCGUCAACUCCUUUGAGUUUUAGCCUUGCGGCCGUACUCCCCAGGCGGGGCACUUAAUGCGCUAGCUGCGGCACGGGGGGAGUCGACACCCCCCACACCUAGUGCCCAUCGUUUACGGCGUGGACUAC
rnacentral:misc_RNA from 1 species